rfam:Pontibacter akesuensis strain DSM 18820 genome assembly, contig: Ga0070223_104
CGAAACCCGCCCCAAGAUGAGAUCUCCCUUAAGGGCCGUCAAAGACGAUGACGUCGAUAGGUGGCAGGUGUAAAGGUGGAAACACCAAAGCCGAGCCAUACUAAUUGCCCGAGCGCGUCCGGCCA